GUAUGAUUUCGUAGUACUUAAUGAAUUAAUAAAAAUAAUGUUUUAGACAAUUCCUUUGAACUUUUCUUCAAAAGGAUGAAUUUGAUUACCAUAUUCAGAAGAUAGCUAAAUGAUUCAGUUAGUAACUCUAGAUGUAGCAUGUUUUGUAAUAACGGGGAGAUGUUUGUUUGUGAUCAAUGCUGCGGCUAAUUGUUGCAGGAUUCUUUGUCUUCUUGGAGCGUCCCGAUGCAGGCUUAGUCCACGUGAGGAGCUCGCUCGCUGUGGAUCUUACCCUGGUGCCAAUGCCAUGGACAAGGUGCCCUCUCCACCUCUUCUCUGUGUGUUCAAUUUGAAGCUGGUGCUCUGUUUGUAAAGCUCAGGGCGGGGGCAGGAGGUCAUGGUGAACCCAACGCCCAUAGGCGGAGGCAACAGGAGUUGGUGGAGUGGCGGAUGCGGCCGGUGUCGGCAGUUGAGGGAGGCUCGCCGGCCGGAGUGACAUGAGUAGUCCGAUAAUCGGGUCGCAAGAGGCUGCUCUCCUUUGCUGAGGUCGGCUACUAAUUCCAAUUUGUGCGCGGUUGCGUGUGUAAAGUGGCUGCCUUGUGCAGUUGAGGAACAAAACAGAAAAAGGAAAGGAGUCAAUAAAGACCUGACCAACAGGAAAGCACAUGUGGCUAAAUUCUGUUAUAUGGUAUGUGAUAUUCAAAAUCAAGACACUGUAUAUUAAAGAGGUUUCAAAGGAAAUAGAGUGAAUUGGCCAACUUUUUCUAUACAUACGCUGAUAGCCAUCCAGCAUGAUUGAGUCUGCUAUGGGUGUUGGAGGAAAUAGACUUUGGUCCAUCAGAGUCUACUUGGAAGCUGACAAUACAUGCUAUGCCUCUUUGAUAAUAAAGCAGGAAUCAUGGUGGUCGGAUACAAUGCAAUACUUUGAUGGCUGGCCGAAUCCAUCCAUCCCAUGAGUGCAAAGUAUACUUCUAUAAUUUCCUACAACAUACUCCCUCCGUUCUUAAAUGUAAGUCUGUAACACCCACGAUGCGGCUAUAUCUCUCAUGUGUCGGAGUACGACUUAGAUGCAUAACCGCAUUGUAGGCAUGUCGCAAGAGGGGUAAUCUUUACACAUCCCGUGUACUGAAUAUGAAAGGGAUAAAGAGUUGGCUUACA